rnacentral:rRNA from 1 species
GAUGAACGCUGGCGGCGUGCUUAACACAUGCAAGUCGAACGAACCUUCGGGUUAGUGGCGGACGGGUGAGUAACGCGUGAGAAUCUGCCCUCAGGAGGGGGACAACAGUUGGAAACGACUGCUAAUACCCCAUAUGCCGCGAGGUGAAAUGAAUUUCGCCUGAGGAUGAGCUCGCGUCUGAUUAGCUUGUUGGUGGGGUAAUGGCCUACCAAGGCAACGAUCAGUAGCUGGUCUGAGAGGAUGAUCAGCCACACUGGGACUGAGACACGGCCCAGACUCCUACGGGAGGCAGCAGUGGGGAAUUUUCCGCAAUGGGCGAAAGCCUGACGGAGCAACGCCGCGUGAGGGAUGAAGGCCUCUGGGCUGUAAACCUCUUUUAUCAAGGAAGAAGAUCUGACGGUACUUGAUGGAUAAGCCACGGCUAAUUCCGUG